GUCGGUGUGGCGGAAUGGUAGACGUGCAUGCUUGAGGUGCAUGUGGAGAGAUCCGUGGGGGUUCAAGUCCCCCCAUCGACA
rfam:Clostridium sp. CAG:813 genomic scaffold, scf171